rnacentral:rRNA from 1 species
CGGCGGACGGGUGAGUAACGCGUGGGUAACCUACCCUGUACACACGGAUAACAUACCGAAAGGUAUGCUAAUACGGGAUAAUAUAUUUGAGAGGCAUCUCCUGAAUAUCAAAGGUGAGCCAGUACAGGAUGGACCCGCGUCUGAUUAGCUAGUUGGUAAGGUAACGGCUUACCAAGGCGACGAUCAGUAGCCGACCUGAGAGGGUGAUCGGCCACAUUGGAACUGAGACACGGUCCAA